CAGAAUCAACGCUGGCGGCGCGCUUAACACAUGCAAGUCGCACGAGAAAGUGGAGCAAUCCAUGAGUACAGUGGCGUACGGGUGAGUAACACGUGGAUAAUCUGCCCUUUAGUGGGGAAUAACCCUGGGAAACCGGGGCUAAUACCGCAUAAGCCUGAGAAGGGAAAGCAGCAAUGCGCUGAAGGAGGAGUCCGCGGCCGAUUAGCUAGUUGGUAGGGUAACGGCCUACCAAGGCAAUGAUCGGUAGCCGGCCUGAGAGGGCACACGGCCACACUGGCACUGAAACACGGGCCAGACUCCUACGGGAGGCAGCAGUGGGGAAUCUUGCACAAUGGAGGAAACUCUGAUGCAGCGACGCCGCGUGAGCGAUGAAGCCCUUCGGGGUGUAAAGCUCUUUCGACAGGAACGAUAAUGACGGUACCUGGAGAAGAAGCUGCGGCUAACUACGUGCCAGCAGCCGCGGUAAUACGUAGGCAGCAAGCGUUGUUCGGAAUUACUGGGCGUAAAGAGUGUGUAGGCGGUUCUCUAAGUUCGGUGUGAAAUCUCCCGGCUUAACUGGGAGGGUGCACCGGAAACUGGAGGGCUUGAGUAUGGGAGAGGAAGGCGGAAUUCCUGGUGUAGCGGCGAAAUGCGUAGAUAUCAGGAGGAACACCUGCGGUGUAGACAGCUUUCUGGACCAUCACUGACGCUGAGACACG
rnacentral:rRNA from 1 species